UUUUAUGGAGAGUUUGAUCCUGGCUCAGGAUGAACGCUGGCGGCGUGCCUAAUACAUGCAAGUCGAGCGAACGGACGAGAAGCUUGCUUCUCUGAUGUUAGCGGCGGACGGGUGAGUAACACGUGGAUAACCUACCUAUAAGACUGGGAUAACUUCGGGAAACCGGAGCUAAUACCGGAUAAUAUUUUGAACCGCAUGGUUCAAAAGUGAAAGACGGUCUUGCUGUCACUUAUAGAUGGAUCCGCGCUGCAUUAGCUAGUUGGUAAGGUAACGGCUUACCAAGGCAACGAUGCAUAGCCGACCUGAGAGGGUGAUCGGCCAC
rnacentral:rRNA from 1 species